rnacentral:rRNA from 1 species
AUUGAACGCUGGCGGCAUGCCUUACACAUGCAAGUCGAACGGCAGCAUGGAGAGCUUGCUCUCUGAUGGCGAGUGGCGAACGGGUGAGUAAUGCAUCGGAACGUACCGUGUAAUGGGGGAUAACGUAGCGAAAGUUACGCUAAUACCGCAUACGACCUGAGGGUGAAAGCAGGGGAUCGCAAGACCUUGCGUUAUACGAGCGGCCGGUGUCAGAUUAGCUAGUUGGUGAGGGAAAGGCUCACCAAGGCGACGAUCUGUAGCGGGGCUGAGAGGGUGGUCGGCCACACUGGGACUGAGACACGGCGCAGACUCCUACGGGAGGCAGCAGCGGGGAAUUUUGGACAAUGGGGGCAACCCUGAUCCAGCCAUGCCGCGUGAGUGAAGAAGGCCUUCGGGUUGUAAAGCUCUUUCGGCCGGGAAGAAAUCGCACAGGCUAAUACUCUGUGUGGAUGACGGUACCGGCAUAAGAAGCACCGGCUAACUACGUGCCAGCCGCCGCCGUAA